rnacentral:rRNA from 1 species
CGUGUGCUUACAAGUAGUCAGAGCCCGUUAAUGGGUGAUGGCGUGCCUUUUGUAGAAUGAACCGGCGAGUUACGAUUUGAUGCAAGGUUAAGCAGUAAAUGUGGAGCCGUAGCGAAAGCGAGUCUGAAUAGGGCGUUUAGUAUUUGGUCGUAGACCCGAAACCAGGUGAUCUACCCUUGGUCAGGUUGAAGUUCAGGUAACACUGAAUGGAGGACCGAACCGACUUACGUUGAAAAGUGAGCGGAUGAACUGAGGGUAGCGGAGAAAUUCCAAUCGAACCUGGAGAUAGCUGGUUCUCUCCGAAAUAGCUUUAGGGCUAGCCUCAAGUGAUGAUUAUUGGAGGUAGAGCACUGUUUGGACGAGGGGCCCCUCUCGGGUUACCGAAUUCAGACAAACUCCGAAUGCCAAUUAAUUUAACUUGGGAGUCAGAACAUGGGUGAUAAGGUCCGUGUUCGAAAGGGAAACAGCCCAGACCACCAGCUAAGGUCCCAAAAUAUAUGUUAAGUGGAAAAGGAUGUGGCGUUGCCCAGACAACUAGGAUGUUGGCUUAGAAGCAGCCAUCAUUUAAAGAGUGCGUAAUAGCUCACUAGUCGAGUGACACUGCGCCGAAAAUGUACCGGGGCUAAACAUAUUACCGAAGCUGUGGAUUGUCCUUUGGACAAUGGUAGGAGAGCGUUCUAAGGGCGUUGAAGCAUGAUCGUAAGGACAUGUGGAGCGCUUAGAAGUGAGAAUGCCGGUGUGAGUAGCGAAAGACGGGUGAGAAUCCCGUCCACCGAUUGACUAAGGUUUCCAGAGGAAGGCUCGUCCGCUCUGGGUUAGUCGGGUCCUAAGCUGAGGCCGACAGGCGUAGGCGAUGGAUAACAGGUUGAUAUUCCUGUACCACCUAUAAUCGUUUUAAUCGAUGGGGGGACGCAGUAGGAUAGGCGAAGCGU